GGUUUCGUUGUCUUAAUUUGGGGCAGUAAUGAUUUCUGAGAAGCAGGUGAUUGAUAACGCGCAAAUUCAAAGCCCCUUGGGGGCUGCAUUGUAGCAUGGUGUGGGGAUGGGGAGACAGAGGGCUGGUAGGAUCCCGAAUUCCUAGUUUUUCUCUCCCUCUCCCUUGCUUCUUCAUUUUCUUCCUUCAGGCUUUCUUCCAUUUCUUUCUUCCAUCAAAUAUUUGUGGAGCUGGAACUGGGCUUCACUAUCAUAUUCCAAGGCCCUGUACUGGGAACAGACAAAGAAGCUCCUCCCAGAGACUGGAAGAAUGGUACAAGGUGUGAAAACCAAGGCUUAAAGCAUGCAAGUUAUUUGCCCGAGGUUUUUCAGCCACAAAUGAAGAAGCUGGGUCUGCUCCACACCUGUGAACCAGGCUAUUUCCACCAUAACCUGAACUCAGAUGAGCACCAGCCCAUGGAGAAUAGUCCAGAAGGCUGCCCAUAGCCUUAAAGGACAGUGUGAGCAUUAAUCACAGCCUGUUGCAUUUGAAGACCACCUCCGGAACAAUGUCGUUUUAAAUCUAUGCCCAAGGCUGAACUUGGAUUGGAAAGAUGGGAGAGACAGCAGGCCUGGGUGUAUUCAGGAUUAUUUCCUAAUAACUCACUCUCUCCUCCCUCCUCCCUUUCUUGAAAGUGAGUGGUUAGGGAUGAGCGGUUGCAGGCAGAGAUGACAGCAUGAGAUAUUUCACCAAAGAGUGGGUGUUUAACCACCACUUGUCUAGGAGAUGGGCAACAUGUCCCAGAGAUGAUUCUAACAGGGAACUCUUCCUGGCAGAGUCCAGUGAAGGGAACCAGGAAAUUCGGGGGCAGGGCAAUCCCACUCUCUCUGUCAGGUGAGAUCACCUGCGCAGUGGUUUGAGUUCAGGCAUCUUACUUUCUUUUAGUUAGAUUCAUAGGAUUAAAAAUUAUCUGCUUAUCUAGUCCAAUAUUUUUAAGGCAUGUCAAAAAAUCUGCAGAAUCCCCCCCCCCCCUUUUUUUUCAUAAGAAAUAUACAUAAAUCUGAGAAAAAGCAGAGCUGGAAAAAAAGUGGGGGCAUCUCGGAGGAUGAACUACCUGGAGCCCCAUUCUGGCAGCUCUUGAGAAUUCUGGAAUUCCUCUGGAAACUACUGAUUUAGUUUCUCAUUUCCAUUUGAGAAAACAAAAUAUAAUAAUAG
rnacentral:lncRNA from 1 species